CAAGCUGCAGGCGCUCGACAGCGCCUGGUUUUCCAAGCUGCGGCGUCUGACUGAAGUAAAGUUAAACAACAACGAGCUGGCAGCCAUACCUGACCUGGGACCCGCCGCCGCCAACCUCACGGCGCUCGUUCUAGCCAACAACCGGAUCGGCAGGAUCUGCGCGGAGCGGCUGAGGCCCCUGCUGAGCCUGGAGACGCUGGACCUCAGCAACAACAACAUCG